rnacentral:rRNA from 1 species
CCUACGGGUGGCAGCAGUCGAGAAUCAUUCACAAUGGGGGAAACCCUGAUGGUGCGACGCCGCGUGGGGGAAUGAAGGUCUUCGGAUUGUAAACCCCUGUCAUGUGGGAGCAAAUUAAAAAGAUAGUACCACAAGAGGAAGAGACGGCUAACUCUGUGCCAGCAGCCGCGGUAAUACAGAGGUCUCAAGCGUAGUUCGGAAUCACUGGGCGUAAAGCGUGCGUAGGCUGUUUCGUAAGUCGUGUGUGAAAGGCGCGAGCUCAACCCGCGGACGGCACAUGAUAAUGCGAGACUAGAGUGAUGGAGGGGGGACCGGAAUUCUCGGUGUAGCAGUGAAAUGCGUAGAUAUCGAGAGGAACACUCGUGGCGAAGGCGAGUUCCUGGACAUUAACUGACGCUGAGGCACGAAGGCCAGGGGAGCGAAAGGGAUUAGAUACCCCAGUAGUC